rnacentral:rRNA from 1 species
CCUACGGGUGGCAGCAGUGGGGAAUAUUGCACAAUGGGCGAAAGCCUGAUGCAGCGACGCCGCGUGGGGGAUGACGGUCUUCGGAUUGUAAACCCCUUUCAGUAGGGACGAAGCGCAAGUGACGGUACCUGCAGAAGAAGCACCGGCCAACUACGUGCCAGCAGCCGCGGUAAUACGUAGGGUGCGAGCGUUGUCCGGAAUUACUGGGCGUAAAGAGCUCGUAGGCGGUUUGUCGCGUCGUCCGUGAAAACUCGGAGCUUAACUCCGAGCUUGCGGGCGAUACGGGCAGACUUGAGUACUACAGGGGAGACUGGAAUUCCUGGUGUAGCGGUGAAAUGCGCAGAUAUCAGGAGGAACACCGGUGGCGAAGGCGGGUCUCUGGGUAGUAACUGACGCUGAGGAGCGAAAGCAUGGGUAGCGAACAGGAUUAGAUACCCUUGUAGUC